GAUUUGGAGAGGCGAUAUAUGGCGAGGAAGAACUUUGUGGAUUCAUCUUCCAUGAUCCGAAAAAGCUUUUCAGAUAGACACUCGAGCAUACGAAUUGAUGGUCUGAAUCUAAGCUCCCCCAAACACAAUGCAGAUGCUCAGGAGUUCAGGUUAUUUGUUGGAACAUGGAAUGUUGGGGGUAGAUCUCCUAACAAUAGCCUGAACCUUGAAGACU